GGGGCUGUUUGGUUUUGACAGCAGGUAGAAAGGCUAAGUAAGCAUGUCGAGCAUUGUGACACCGGCUCGUUAAUCUCGGAUCUCAACAAAUUUAAUUGGCGAAAAUCAUUACGCUCUCGCUGCUUAAUCGAAUCACAGUAGAUAAGCUUUAUUUCGGCGCAAGGCGCUGAAACGAGACAUCUCCCAAGCGCCGUAGCCUCGAGGCUGUUUGAUAAGGAGGUGCAGUAAAAUCGGGGAUAGUUUUGUGCAGCCUCGUGUGCAGAACGAAAAUUUAGAGGAUAAGGUGCAAAUUGGUGGCUCCGGUCUUGCUUGCACACGAAAAUUUAGGCGGAGAUAAACAUGUAGAAAACUUAUUUUUUCCUUGUUUGGACGAGGGUUCGACUCCCUCCAGCUCCACAA
rnacentral:tmRNA from 1 species